rnacentral:rRNA from 1 species
UGGGGAAUCUUGCACAAUGGGGGCAACCCUGAUGCAGCGACGCCGCGUGAGCGAUGAAGCCCUUCGGGGCGUAAAGCUCUUUCUACCGGAACGAUAAUGACGGUACCGGGAGAAGAAGCUGCAGCUAACUACGUGCCAGCAGCCGCGGUAAUACGUAGGCAGCAAGCGUUGUUCGGAGUUACUGGGCGUAAAGAGUGCGUAGGCGGUUUUCUAAGUUCGGUGUGAAAUCUCCCGGCUUAACUGGGAGGGUGCGCCGAAUACUGGGAAGCUGGAGUGUGGGAGAGGCAGGCGGAAUUCCUGGUGUAGCGGUGAAAUGCGUAGAUAUCAGGAGGAACACCGGCGGUGUAGACGGCUUGCUAGACCAUAACUGACGCUGAGGCACGAAAGCGUGGGUAGCAAACA